rnacentral:rRNA from 1 species
AUGGUGGGCUUAAUAGCAGAGAUUUGCAUCUCGUUGCGGCGGCGGAGGCGGAGGCGAGCGACGACGCGUGCCAUGGCGCUCUGCCGUGUGGGUUCUCGGCUCGCUGGAGUCGCGGCGAGGAGUCUUCUCACCGGCUCCCAUGCUGCCAAGGGCGGCGCUGACAUCCCCAUCGCCGGCCUCCGCGCUCACCUGCCCAACACCUCUGGUCUCCUGCGUCCCAAGGGCGUCGGCCACUACUCUCAGGAAAGGUUCUCCCACACCAAGCCGGCACCCACACUGGUCAUGGUGGUGGUGCAUGAAGACCCAGAUCUCGCGCGUGUCUAUGCGGAGAGCCUGUCUAAGGCUGCCAGGGACCAAAUCCUUGUCCUGCACAAGGUGCACCUUGCCCCACCUGCAUCCGAAGUUAACCCUGAGUCCACCGAUGUCAAUCCUGAUGCUGACUCUAAGCUUGACUUGCCGAAAGAGUGCCCCGGGGACCCACACGUUGUUUCCUUUGUCGUGGAUGGGCUUUCUGGACUUACUGAAGCUGAGAUUGAGAUGCUGUUUGACAAUAAAAUGAGGACUGUGGUGAGGGACGGCAAGGAUCCAUGUGUCGCGGCAAUCGAGCAGAUGGGCAGGAAUUUGGACUCUGCUUUGCAAGGGGUAAAGUGGAACCAACAGAUAUGCUUUGAGAAACUGGAUGCGAGGGCUAUUUCCCAGAGUCUGCUCCUGGAGGAUCUCCACAAGGCCAGUAAACAAGUGAAUUUUGUCGAAGCCGCCUUGAGCGAGGCUGGGAGAAGGAUGUUCCACAAGAAAGUUAUCUGGGCAAAGAGGAGCCUACUGACACUGGUGCCGUAUGCCAGCAGGUACUACUUUUAUUGUCUGUCCGCCUAUAGUCUGCUGAUGUGCGAUGUGCCUCUUCGUCCGGUCGACUAUGCCUUGAUUGUGGUUGGAGCCCAGUGGAUGGCUAGCGAUGAAAUGAGGGGAAAAUUCCUGGAGUCAUACAAUUACUUCAAGAAUGGUGGCAAAAAGGUGGAUGCUGGUGAUGCUGGCAAGAAGAUUUGA